rnacentral:rRNA from 1 species
GUAAGGAAUAUUGGUCAAUGGACGAAAGUCUGAACCAGCCAUGCCGCGUGGAGGAUGAAGGUCCUCUGGAUUGUAAACUUCUUUUAUAUGGGACGAAAAUGGGGCUUUCUAGCUCAACUGACGGUACCAUAUGAAUAAGCACCGGCUAACUCCGUGCCAGCAGCCGCGGUAAUACGGAGGGUGCAAGCGUUAUCCGGAUUCACUGGGUUUAAAGGGUGCGUAGGUGGAUUGGUAAGUCAGAGGUGAAAUCUCCGGGCUCAACUCGGAAACUGCCUUUGAUACUAUCAAUCUUGAAUAUUGUGGAGGUUAGCGGAAUAUGUCAUGUAGCGGUGAAAUGCUUAGAUAUGACAUAGAACACCAAUUGCGAAGGCAGCUGGCUACACAUAUAUUGACACUGAGGCACGAAAGCGUGGGGAUCAAACAGGAUUAGAUACCCCAGUAGUCC